rnacentral:rRNA from 1 species
ACACGUAGGGGGCGAGCGUUGUCCGGAAUGAUUGGGCGUAAAGGGCGCGUAGGCGGCGCGGUAAGUCUGGAGUGAAAGUCCUGCUUUCAAGGUGGGAAUUGCUUUGGAUACUGCCGAGCUUGAGUGCAGGAGAGGUUAUCGGAAUUCCCGGUGUAGCGGUGAAAUGCGUAGAGAUCGGGAGGAACACCAGUGGCGAAGGCGGGUAACUGGACUGCAACUGACGCUGAGGCGCGAAAGUUUGGGGAGCAAACAGGAUUAGAUACCCUGGUAGUCCACACUGUAAACGAUGAAUGCUAGGUGUAAGAGGUAUCGACCCCUUUUGUGCCGGAGUCAACACAAUAAGCAUUCCGCCUGGGGAGUACGGCCGCAAGGUUGAAACUCAAAGGAAUUGGCGGGG